UUCAGGUUUUGAAGUUAAAUGGAACACAAAUAAGGAACAUUCAGCAUUUGGCGUACCUUGUAGAUUAAAGCAUGUGACUUGAGGUGUCGCAUCUGGGUUGGGGGAGAUGGUACACUCUGAGAGAGCUUGAGGCGGCCACCAAUGGGCCCUGUGAAGAGAAUGUGA